rnacentral:rRNA from 1 species
ACACGUCUACAUUAGAUACCCGUGUAGUCCCAGCCGUAAACUAUGCGCGUUAGGUGUAUCGGUGACCACGAGUCACCGAGGUGCCGAAGGGAAACCGUGAAACGUGCCGCCUGGGAAGUACGGUCGCAAGGCUGAAACUUAAAGGAAUUGGCGGGGGAGCACCACAACGGGUGGAGCCUUGCGGUUUAAUUGGACUCAACGCCGGGAAGCUCACCGGAUAAGACAGCGGAAUGAUUGCCGGGCUGAAGACUCUGCAUGACUAGCUG